GGGGACUCGGUAGCGCGGGCCGUCCUGCUGGGGAUACUUUGGUCCCCGUGCACCUCGACUGUACGGCGCGCGGCCCACACGUCGCGGCGUUGUUAAGCCCUUAAGGUGAUAGGGUUCGAGAGACUGAGAGGCAAAAGGGAGGCGACCCCAGGUGGCCGACUGGGAAAACCGUGAUUCUAACUCCACCCCUGCCGCCAUCAAAGCGAUUGAUUGCGCGAGGUGAACCCCGAAAGCCUGUGUUGUCGAGUUCGUGGUAGAGAGGGCUUUGGACGCGAUUGAGCCCUGUGCUGAGCAGAGACGGGGCGAGGUCAGUGACUCAGCUUGGUCCCACUGGGAAUGGCAGCCCCGUCUAUGAAAGAAAGGCAGGCUUGCUGGGGAGCCCGAGAUGAGUACUGGAAGUGUUUAGAUGAGAGCACGGACGAUGCUUCUCAGUGCAAGAAGUUAAGAAGCUCCUUUGAAUCGAGUUGCCCCCAACAAUGGAUAAAAUAUUUUGAUAAAAGAAGAGACUACUUAAAAUUCAAAGAAAAAUUUGAAGCAGGACAAUUCCAGCCUUCAAAAACAACCACAAAUUCCUAGAUUGUACCUGAACUUUUCACAAAACUUGACUGCACAUACAAAGCUCUGUUAACCUUAAGGACAAUAGUAAUUACCAGUACUAUUUGAAUUAAGGUAAAUGUCAAUACUUGUUCUCUAUAAAGGACUCUUAAUAACUAAAGUGAUCAAAUAACAGGAUUCAUUCAGACUAUGAGUAAUCGAAAUAAAUGGUGUAAAAUAUA